GAUGAACGCUGGCGGCGUGCCUAAUACAUGCAAGUCGAGCGAACAGACGAGGAGCUUGCUCCUCUGACGUUAGCGGCGGACGGGUGAGUAACACGUGGAUAACCUACCUAUAAGACUGGGAUAACUUCGGGAAACCGGAGCUAAUACCGGAUAAUAUAUUGAACCGCAUGGUUCAAUAGUGAAAGACGGUUUUGCUGUCACUUAUAGAUGGAUCCGCGCCGCAUUAGCUAGUUGGUAAGGUAACGGCUUACCAAGGCAACGAUGCGUAGCCGACCUGAGAGGGUGAUCGGCCACACUGGAACUGAGACACGGUCCAGACUCCUACGGGAGGCAGCAGUAGGGAAUCUUCCGCAAGGGGCGAAAGCCUGACGGAGCAACGCCGCGGGAGUGAUGAAGGUCUUCGGAUCGUAAAACUCUGUUAUUAGGGAAGAACAAAUGUGUAAGUAACUAUGCACGUCUUGACGGUACCUAAUCAGAAAGCCACGGCUAACACGUG
rnacentral:rRNA from 1 species